rnacentral:rRNA from 1 species
CAGCAGCCACGGUAAUACGAAGGGUGCAAGCGUUACUCGGAAUUACUGGGCGUAAAGCGUGCGUAGGUGGUUUGUUAAGUUGGAUGUGAAAUCCCCGGGCUCAACCUGGGAACUGCAUCCAAAACUGGCAAGCUAGAGUAUGGUAGAGGGUGGUGGAAUUUCCUGUGUAGCGGUGAAAUGCGUAGAUAUAGGAAGGAACACCAGUGGCGAAGGCGACCACCUGGACUGAUACUGACACUGAGGUGCGAAAGCGUGGGGAGCAAACAGGAUUAGAUACCCGCGUAGUCCCUGUCUCUUAUAC